GAAAGAUCCUAAUGCACCCAAAUGUCCUCCUACUGCAUUCUUUUUGUUCAUGGAUAAGUUUAGGAAAUCUUAUAAGGAAGCAAAUCCAGAUGCAAAGAGUGCUACAGGGGUACUCAUUUUUCACUUUUGUGCUUGACAUGGUUUUCUUUA